AAUAGAAUAGGGUUUGUUUGCUUCUUCUUCCGAACGCUAAGGGUGUACUUGCACCUUUUCCCUAAAGAAAAUGCGAGGACAACUCUCAGUCAGUCCGACAGAAUGAAACAAAAAUGGUUGCGUCUAUCAACUCAACAUUUCGAAUUUAGGAGGGAAUGAAGUGUGAAAAGCCGAAAGAGAGAAAGAGUAACACUGGGAAGCCAAAAAUAAUGGCCACUAACCUCUCAAGCUUAAUACACGAACUCCGAGAACGCAUAGCCGCAUCCUCUUCCACGCCACCCAACACCAUCGAUGAUGAUGCAUUGGGGAACAGAUUCCGUGCCGUCCUUCCUAAUCUUCUUCACUCCUACGUCGUUCCCUCUUCCUCAGCUAGUGAGCGAGAGGUUAUUGCUGUAUUGAAGUUAAUUUCUCAUAUUGCUAAAAAUUUUCCUGGCGUUUUUUACCAUGGGAAGGCUAGUGCUGUGCUACCGGUGAUUGGUAGGAUAAUUCCAUUCUUCGCGGAACCUGCAUUUGGCUCACGUCAUGGAGUAAUUUUUGAAACGGUUGGAUCUCUAUUAUCAUUGCUUCGUAUUGGAGCACGAGACACGUACUGUAAAUUUUUCAUAGAUGCCAUGUUGGCUGUUGAAGAUCUUUUGUAUGCAGCAUCGCUUUCUGUUGAAGCCAAAAAUAUUCCAGUUUCUGCUACAGUAACUCUGAAGUGUUUCUGUAAGUCCUUUGCUGGUGUUCUCAGUGAUCCUACUUGUCUAAGUGAUGUUCCUGCAAUCAGUAAACCCCAGGAUGGUUCUGGUAUCCUGAUCAACAUUACCAGCAAAAAGAGGUGGCAACCAUUUGCAACUUGGAUGAUUAAGCUUAUUAGCAAAUGCUUAACUGAAGGAACUUUAUAUGUGGAGGGACUCAUUAAUAUGUCAAAUGUUUGGGCUGCCUGUUCUCUCUUGUGCUAUGGAGAUGCUGACUUGCAUAUGGCUUGUUUUGACUUUGCACGCAUAAUCGGAUCAUUGAUAUAUGAUGACAUCAUUCCUCAUGAGAAUUUAAUCCAGUCAAUAGCUGCAAUAUUAAGUAAGGACAAAGAGGGACUUCCAGUAUUCAGAAGCUUGGUGUAUGAUUCCUCCAUUGCUGGUUGCCUUACUGCAUUGCACUCUAGUUGUCCUGAUGAUGUUGUGAAAUUAACAGCUGCUGAUUUAAUGAAUGUUUUCCCUUGGUCAAUGUGGAGAACCAAGAGCCAAGAGCUUAAGAUGGCUUUGUGCAGUGCAUACACACGGAUUGCUAGAACUUGUCCCCCUCAUAUUUGGAGACCUGAAUCUCUGAUGAAUAUACUUUGUUUUCCAGAACCAUGCCCUUCCCUAGUCGAUUGCCUUCAUGUAACUCUCUUAAUCCUUGGUCCUGAGAGGGUUGGAGGGGGAGUGGUGAAUAAGGUUAGUGUGGCUUUACCCACAUCAUAUUAUGUAUCAAUUGAGCACACCAGGGUUGGAGAAAAGAGAUGUAUUCAGGAUUUAGAUACCAUCAAGAACAAACGCGUACGGUUUGAAAGAAAUGUUAUGGUUUCUGACGCUGAUAUUCUGGAGGAGAGUAAGCUUACUCGUAUAGUUAGUUUUGAAAGAGAAGAGGAAGAGUACGCAGACCUUAUGCAUGCAUCUCUUCUUUCACUACUUGACAUUUUGCAGUCUUCUCCUUCUGAAUGUAAAUCUUUAAUACCAGAUGUUGCAUUAGCAGCUCUUAGCAUGCUUUGUAUUUCCUUCUGUAGAUACCCAAUGACCAUUAUGUCACUCUGCAUCUUCCAGCAGAUGCAUUCAUGGAUACCAUGGAUAUGUGAGCAGGCAAGACGAGGUGUUUUAUUCACGUUUGACAUUUCCAUCUACCUGGAAGGAAUUCACAGUAUUUUGCUUAUGCAAAGCACCCUUCUCAUGGAGGACAAGCCUUUCAAACUUAAGGGUGAUGAUGUGGAUCUUGUACACAUGUUAUUGAAGCUGCCAUGGACUCAUUCUCAUAUGGUUGGUGGGCCACAUCCUCCAUGGAAAGCAAAAUGUAACUCUGUUCAAGUUGUAUCUAAGCUUGGCCCUAGUUUCAAAACUGAAAGUGUUAUGGAAGUCUUGGAUUUGGGUCUUCAUGAUGGAGCUGAAGAAGUUAGACUUGAAACGAUUGUUUCUAUGCCAGUGAUUGUCUUGUGGUCUGGUCUUGAUGUGCUUGCACAAAUGUUCAAAAGGCUAGAAUUCUUGGGAAGAGAGGUGCAUGAUAGAGUUAAACAGAUAAUUCCCUUUUCUCUUGGUUUUAUGUCAUGCCUAUAUGGAUGUUGCAGUAGUGUUGAUGGUUUAGAGAGAGGUGAAUGCAAGUUAUAUUUGGAUAUCAAUAAUGUGAAACACAGUCAGACAGUAGAUUACCUACUGCAAGGAUUCUGGUGUUCAAUAUGUGAAAAAGGUGUUGUACCCAAUCAUGAAGUAUACUCUAAAAUAAUACAACUUCCUGAUAUACCAAGUGGAGAAGUGGGUUUCAAUUGUGAUUUCAUUCAUCUCCAGUCCCUAUUUUUUAAACUUCUCUAUGAUGGUGCUUUGGAAGAGGUUCAGGUUGGCUGUGUGAGAAUUAUUCAUCGUAUCCUUCUGCAUGGUACUUCUAAUAUCCUAACUAAGACAAGAUUUGAAUGGAUUAGAUGUAUUGAAUUCUUACUACUCAAUACAAAAAGGGCUGUAAGGGAAGCAUUUUGCACUCAGAUCAGUUUCUUCCUUAAUGAUUCUGUGUUGAGUUGUUUAUUUUUGGACGAGGAUUCGCCAAGUAAAAGUAAAGAACAAAAUUUUUUGGAUAUACUGAAAGAUUCUCUGGUGGCAGCUAAGGAUUCACCAAUUGUUGAGACUCUUCUUGAAUCUAUAGCACAAAUUAUGAUUGCAGUUGAUUUCUCCAGUGAACUUUUCUUGAGUUCACUUAUCUUGUUGGUUGAUCAACUAGAUAAUCCGCAUAUGACUGUGAGAAUGAACUCGUCAAGGCUAAUAAAGAAAUCUUGCUUUUUCCAUCUCAAAGGGGGCUUUGAACUAAUCCUUUCAAAAGCUGUUCAUAUCCAAAAUGAACUCUUUGACUAUCUAACAAUGAGUCUUGCAAGUCGACCAGUAAUGGUCCAAGAGUUUGCGGAAGCCAUAUUUGAUGUUGGGACAGAUAAACUUGUUGAGAAAAUGAUUCCCAUAGUUCUUCCAAAGCUUGUGGUCUCUCAUCAGGAUAAGGACAAAGCAUUUCUUGCAUUAUUGGAGUUAGUCAAAUAUGUCAACAGUGAUUUGGUGCCUCUUAUAGUGAACUGGCUACCUAAAGUGCUUGCUUUUGCCCUCCAUCGAGCAAAUAGGCAGGAAUUACUCUCCACUUUGCAGUUUUACCACAAUCAGACUGGUUCCGACAACCAAGAAAUAUUUGCAGCUGCACUACCUGCGCUUUUAGACGAACUUGUAUGCUUUCAAGAUGGUGGUAAUUUAGUUGAGAUACGUCAGAGGUUAUCAAGAGUGCCUGAGAUGAUUAAAGAAAUUGCCAAAGUUCUGACAGGGGCAGAAGAUCUUCCAGGCUUUUUGAGGAAUCAUUUUGUUGGCCUCCUUAACAGUAUUGAUAGAAAAAUGCUUCACUCACAAGAUUCAUUGGUACAGAAACAAGCUUUGGAACGCAUUAAGAUACUGAUUGAAAUGAUGGGCUCUCAGCUUAACACCUACGUCCCAAAACUUAUGGUUCUUCUUAUGCAUGCUAUUAAUAAAGAAUCACUACAAAGUGAGGGUCUUUCUCUCUUACAUUUUUUCAUAAUGCAAUUGGCAAACAAAUCACCAUCUAGCACUAAGCAUAUAAUUUCUCAAGUUCUUGCUGCCCUUUUUCCCAUCUUGGAAAAGUAUAAAGAAAGUCCUUCCAUGCAUUUGAACAAAGUUGUAAAAAUUUUGGAAGAGCUGGUAUUAAAGAACAAAACUGUAUUGAAGCAGCAUAUUUGUGAGUUCCCUCCAUUACCUAGUAUUCUUGAGCUAAUGGAAGUAAAUGAAUUUAUUCAGGAAGCACGUGGUUCAAUGACUCUGAAGGAUCAAUUGAGAGAUGUUGUUGAUGGUUUGAACCAUGAGAACUUGAAUGUGAGGUAUAUGGUAGCAUGUGAGUUGAACAAGUUACUAAACUUAAGGAGGGAAGAUCUUACAGCUUUGAUCACGGGCGAAGUUGCUGCAAACAUGGACGUUUUAAGCUCUUUAAUUACAUCCUUAUUAAGAGGAUGUGCGGAAGAAUCAAGGACUGUAGUGGGGCAGCGGUUGAAGUUGGUCUGUGCGGAUUGUCUUGGAGCACUGGGAGCAGUUGACCCUGCCAAGGUGAAGGGGUCUUCAUGCCAACGCUUUAAAAUUGAAUGUUCAGAUGAUGAUCUCAUCUUUGAGUUGAUCCAUAAACAUUUGGCUAGGGCUUUUAGAGCUGCACCUGAUACUGUUGUUCAAGACUCAGCUGCAUUGGCAAUACAGGAGCUGCUAAAAAUUGCAGGCUGUGGGGCAUCAUUGGAUGAGAAUGUUGCUGCUUCUUUGUCACAACCACUGAAAGAGAAGAGUACUGAAAAUAGUAGUGGGAUGAAUAAUAGGGGUCAAAGAUUGUGGGACCGGUUCUCUAACUAUGUCAAGGAGAUAAUAGCCCCUUGCCUAACCUCUAGAUUUCAGCUUCCAACUGUAGCUGAUUCAACAUCAGCGGGCCCAAUUUACCGUCCUUCUAUGUCAUUUAGAAGAUGGAUAUUUUUUUGGAUAAAAAAACUGACUGCUCAUGCCACUGGAUCUCGUGCAAGCAUAUUUACUGCUUGUCGAGGCAUAGUGCGUCAUGAUAUGCAAAUAGCAAUAUAUCUGCUACCUUAUUUAGUUUUAAAUGCUGUUUGUCAUGGUAUCGAGGAAGCUCGUCUAGGAAUAGCUGAAGAAAUUCUAUCUGUUCUUGAUGCUGCUGCCUCGGAGAACACUGGUGCUGUGAGUCAUGUUAUCAGUGGUGGGCAAAGUGAAGUUUGCAUUCAAGCUGUGUUCACUCUCUUAGAUAAUCUUGGGCAAUGGGUGGAUGACAUUGAGCAAGAACUAGCUCUGUCCCAAUCUUUCCAAACAUUAGCUUCUAAGAAGCAAGCUUCCAGGUCCAAAGAUCAAAGUUCAUUUCCUAAUACAGAUCAGGAUCAACUCCUUUCACAAUGUAAAUAUGUUUCAGAGCUUCUGAUUGUGAUUCCAAAGUUAACCCUUGCUAGAGCCUCCUAUAGGUGUCAAGCUUAUGCGAGGUCUUUGAUGUACUUCGAGUCUCAUGUACGAGAAAAGUCUGGCUCCUUUAACCCUGCAGCAGAGAGAAGCGGCAUGUUUGAGGAUGAUGAUGUUUCCUUUCUGAUGGAAAUAUACAGUUGUCUAGAUGAACCUGAUGGUUUAUCUGGCUUGGCGUGUUUACGUAAAUCAUUAAGCUUACAGGAUCAGCUCUUAAUAAACAAAAAGGGAGGAAAUUGGGCAGAGGUUUUGACUUUUUGUGAGCAGGCCUUACAGAUGGAGCCUACAUCAGUCCACAGGCAUUCAGAUGUCCUUAACUGUCUACUGAACAUGUGCCACCUUCAGACCAUGGUCACUCAUGUGGAUGGUUUAGUCUCCAGGUUUCCCCAAUACAAGAAAACAUGGUGUAUGCAAGGUGUGCAGGCAGCAUGGAGGCUUAGCAAGUGGGACUUGAUGAAUGAGUAUCUUAGUGGAGCUGACGAAGAAGGCUUAGUAUGUAGCAGCUCUGAGAGUAAUGCUUGCUUUGAUAUGAAUGUUGCAAAGAUUAUCCAGGCCAUGAUGAAAAAGGAUCAUUUCUCAGUUGCUGAGAAGAUUGCAUUGUCUAAACAAGCUCUGAUUGCUCCUCUUGCUGCAGCAGGCAUGGAUUCCUAUAUGCGGGCUUACCCAUUUAUUGUGAAACUGCACUUGCUAAGGGAGUUGGAAGACUUCCAUACUUUUCUUGGUGAUGGCUCUUUCUUGGAGAAAAAGUUUCAUCUUGGUGAUCUGGCAUUCACAAAAUUGAUGGAUAACUGGGAAAAUCGGCUCAGGUUUACACAACCUUCACUCUGGGCAAGAGAACCACUUUUAGCUUUCCGGAGAUUGGUAUUUGGUGCUAGUGAUCUUGGUGCUCAAGUGGGAAAUUGCUGGCGUCAAUAUGCAAAGCUCUGUCGCCUGGCUGGUCAUUAUGAGACAGCAAACCGAGCAAUUCUAGAGGCCCAGGCUUCAGGUGCACCUAAUGUUCACAUGGAAAAGGCCAAACUUCUGUGGAGUACUAGAAGAUCAGAUGGCGCUAUUGCAGAAUUGCAACAAGCUCUCCUGCACAUGCCAGAGAAGGCUGUAGGCUCUGCUGCAAGGACACUGAUUACUUCUCUUUCGUUGGUUCCAUUGAAUCCCCAAUCUUCACCCUGCGAUGCUCAAGCUUUGAAUGAAAAUCAAGAUAUUGCAAACACUCUUCUCCUAUAUACCAGAUGGAUUCAUUACACUGGACAGAAGCAGAAGGAAGAUGUCAUAACACUUUAUUCCAGGGUGAGAGAAAUGCAGCCAAAGUGGGACAAAGGGUUCUUCUAUUUAGCUAAGUAUUGUGAUGAGGUGCUCGUUGAUGCCAGGAAACGUCAGGAUGACAAUUCUGAACUAGGUCGCAGAGCAGUACCAAAUACAGAGAAGCAUUGGUGGUAUCAUGUACCUGAUGUACUAUUAUUCUAUGCUAAGGGGCUUCAUAAAGGCCACAAGAAUCUCUUUCAAGCUCUUCCAAGGUUGCUAACCUUAUGGUUUGACUUUGGGAGCAUUUAUCUCAGAUGUGGCUCAUCAUCAGAUGAAGAUAUGAAGAAGGUUCAUGGGAAGGUAAUGAGUAUCAUGCGUGGCUGUUUGAAGGAUUUGCCAACAUAUCAAUGGUUAACAGUAUUGCCUCAAUUGGUAUCUAGAGUGUGCCACCAGAAUGAAGAAGUUGUUAAAUUGGUCAGAUGCAUCAUCACCUGUGUCCUCCGGCAAUACCCACAACAAGCAUUGUGGAUUAUGGCAGCUGUUUCAAAAUCCACAGUCCCUUCAAGAAGGGAAGCAGCUGCUGCAAUCAUACAUGAUGCUAAAAAAGGGUUUAGCCAAGGAAAUAAUGGAAGCAAUUUGUUUGUGCAGUUUGCUAGCCUAAUUGAUCAUCUAAUAAAGUUGUGCUUCCACCCAGGCCAGGCAAGGGCACGGACAAUUAAUAUUUCAACUGAAUUCAGCUCCUUAAAGAGGAUGAUGCCAUUGGGAAUUAUUAUGCCAAUCCAACAAUCACUCGCUGUUAGUUUACCGACAUAUAAUGUCAGCCUUACUGACUCACUUACCUCUGAUGUAUUCUCUGCCUCAGAUCUUCCAACAAUUUCAGGAAUUUCUGACGAGGCUGAGAUUCUUUCAUCUCUUCAACGACCUAAGAAAAUCGUUCUGUUGGGCAGUGAUGGUAUUGAACGUCCAUUUCUCUGCAAACCCAAGGAUGAUCUUAGGAAAGAUGCUCGUAUGAUGGAGUUCAAUGCAAUGAUAAACAGGUUAUUAUCCAAAUAUCCUGAAAGCAGACGAAGAAAACUCUAUAUCCGUACUUUUGCAGUGAUUCCUUUAACAGAAGACUGCGGCAUGGUGGAAUGGGUGCCGCACACUCGUGGACUCCGGCAUAUUCUUCAAGACCUAUAUAUAACCUGUGGGAAAUUUGACAGGCAGAAAACUAAUCCUCAAAUUAAACGGAUUUAUGAUCAAUGCCAAGGUAAAAUGCCAGAAGAUGAGAUGCUGAAGAACAAGAUAUUUCCGAUGUUUCCUCCAGUUUUUCAUAAAUGGUUCUUGACCACUUUCUCUGAGCCAGCUGCUUGGUUUAGGGCCCGGGUUGCUUAUGCACAUACUACUGCUGUUUGGUCAAUGGUUGGGCAUAUUGUGGGGCUAGGUGACCGGCAUGGUGAAAACAUUCUCUUUGACUCUACUACGGGUGAUUGUGUUCAUGUGGAUUUUAGUUGCUUAUUUGACAAAGGAUUGCAGUUGGAGAAGCCUGAACUGGUGCCUUUUAGGCUAACACAGAAUAUGAUUGAUGGCUUGGGUAUCACUGGAUAUGAGGGCAUCUUCAUACGGGUAUGCGAAAUCACACUUUCAGUACUGAGGACACAUAGGGAGACUCUGAUGAGUGUCCUUGAAACUUUCAUUCAUGAUCCUUUGGUGGAGUGGACAAAAAUUCAUAAAUCCAGUGGGGUAGAAGUUCAGAACCCACAUGCAAAGCGAGCAAUUAAUAAUAUUGAAGCCAGGCUGCAAGGAGUAGUUGUCGGUGUUGGAGCAGCACCUUCGUUACCUCUAGCUGUGGAAGGCCAAGCACGUCGCUUAAUUGCUGAAGCAGUGUCGCACAAAAACCUUGGAAGGAUGUAUAUAUGGUGGAUGCCAUGGUUUUAGUUCUUAGAACUUGAGAAUUUCCUACUGAAAAAACUUAGGGAUAACUACAAAUGGAUCUUGCAAUUUUUCAUAUCAUUCACAGCAUGUCAAUAUUCUGACAAGACUUUGCUGGCAUGGCUUUCUGGCAUUUCCAUGCUUAUCUCUACUUUUUCUUCAGAGGAUAUGGUGCUUACUCUGUAACAGGGUGCCACUUACCUGCAAGGCUCAUGGAUCCUGCUUCUGUAAUAUAUACUGCACGGAUAGUUUCUAUAGUGGGUUUGACGCCCGAACCCAAAGGUGCCAUCCGCAUGUGUCCCAAACAAAGUGACGUCAAUUUUUUUGUAAUGGGCCUCGUUGCUGAAGAAGAAAGAUAUGAUGGGUGGAGUAUUUCCAUGUGAAAACUGGCAUGGAAGGAACACGUCAUACAGUCAUACUGAAGAUUGGAAGUUUCUGUUUUUGAUGGUCAAGCAUGUAGAGAGAUUAAACCUGAUGAAGGUGAUGGAAGAAGUAUCAAGAAUUUCAACCAUGCAUCUUGCCAGGAGCUUCAACACCUUCAUCUGAAAGAAUAGAUCAUGGAUUUCAGAAGGGAACUGAGAACGCACCUUGCUGGUUCUUCCAGAGAUUGUUCAUUCGGUUAGGAGUACUAUAUAUCUUUCAUGUUCAUAUUAUAGUUCCCCUCUGUACAGCACUGAUCAAUACAGUUGACGAACUUGUAUAUUCUUUUCAAUGUAUAUCUUGAGUAGGUUAAUGGUACAUAUGCAUAUUGGUGAUCGCAGCAUAACUAUGCAUUACCCUAAUUUUCAGUU